GCGGAAGGAUCAUUAUCGUACAAUCGAGGUGCCGGAGUUGUCGCUGUCCUCUAAGGGGGUCGUGCACGCCUCGGUGCUCUCACACAUCAAUCCAUCUCACCCCUUUUGUGCAUCACCGCGUGGGGACCCCUUUUGGCUAGUUCCGAGGGGGGUUUUCACGUUUUUACAAAAACACCCUUUUAAUGCAAUGUGUAGAAUGUCUUUACUUUUUGCGAUCAUACGCAAUCAAUACAACUUUCAACAACGGAUCUCUUGGCUCUCGCAUCGAUGAAGAACGCAGCGAAAUGCGAUACGUAAUGUGAAUUGCAGAAUUCAGUGA
rnacentral:misc_RNA from 1 species